rnacentral:lncRNA from 1 species
GGAUCAUGCCUGACAGGUAUGUCUCUCCUGCCAGUGGCAGGAUACAAUGGUUUUUCUGAAGCUGUUGGGGAGCUGGUGAACAUGUGGAAGAAUCUUCUUCUUCAUCUGUUCUGCCUGAAGGAGGAAACAUCUGCUGGCUUUUAGAUGAGAUUAUUCACUGAGAAGAAUUCAAGAAAAGUAGGAAAAGUCAGGAAAUACAAAACAAACAAACAAACACACCCCCCCCCCAAACCCGUUUGAAGGUUUUAGAGAAAAAAACAAGACAAGCAUAAUUCCAGGGCCAAGAUUUGGGAGGGAGGCAAUCCAGAGGUGUGAGCCUCUGGGGAUGGCUUUUCCCUGAGGUGGGGGGGUCAUCAAAAUUUAGAAAAGUUGAUGAAAGGUUGGUAGACUGAGAGGUGCAGAACUGACCUCAAAUUUACAGGAUCAGGGCAACAACAGUGGGUGCCCUGAGUCUGCUGAUGAGGGACCCUAGUAAUUUCCCUGCCGAGCUUUGGGUUGAGAUCCCAAAGUGCUACCCUCUAGGCGUCAUGGUAAUCCAUGGUAACCCCUACCAGGGACAGGAAAUCAGCCUUGAAUCAUCUCAGUCUAUGACUGGAUUAAACUAGUAUGAAAUUACCAAUCCCCUACCCUCUGUCCAGAAGCAAAUAUAAAUCCACCUCCGAGGAAGAUAAUACUCUAAACUUGAAAAUAUUUUUAUAAUUUUUCAGGUACAAUGCCCAGAAACAGUCACAACAGGCAAAUCUAUAGGGACGGAAGGAAAAUGAGUGGUUUCCAGGGACUAAGGGGAGAGAGGGGUGGGGUGUGAUGCGGAUGGGGAUGAGGCUUCCAUUGGCGGUAACGAAGACGUGCUGAAAUCAGAUAACGGUGCUGGUUGCACAAUUCUGUGAACAUAUUGAAAGCCACUGAAUUGUACACUUCAAAACAGUGAAUUGUAUUUCAACAAGGCUGUUAUUAUGAUGAUGAUUUUUUUUUUUUUUUGGUCUUUUUGUCUUUUGGGGCCGCACCCAUGUCAUAUGGAGGUUCCCAGGCCAGGGGUUGAAUCGGAGCUGUAGCCACUGGCCUACACCAGAGCCACAGCAACGCGGGAUCCGAGCCGCGUCUGCAACCUACACCACAGCUCACGGCAACGCCGGAUCGUUAACCCACUGAGCAAGGGCAGGGACCGAACCCGCAACCUAAUGGUUCCUAGUCGGAUUCGUUAACCACUGAGCCACGACGGGAACUCCCCAUUCCUAUUAUUUUUAAACAGGAAGAUGAAAUAAAAACAUUCAGAUCAACUAACUUUAGAGGAAAGUAGAGGUAGUUAGGGUAUAAUGAUUUUAGUACAAAAAGAUUUGGCUUAUUAGGAAAUGAUUUAGUUCUCAUGUACUUUUAUUACCACUGUUAAUCAAAAAAGAGCCCACUCAAAUGAAUCUGGUCCUGAAGUUUCCAUAUCGUAUUCUCAUAUGAUUUCUCUUGGGGCUGGACUAUAUUUUUUAAAGCUUUCUUAAUAUUUUUCCUUAUUAAUUGAAGUGGAGUUGACAUACAGUAAUAUAUUAGAUUCAGGCAUAUGACAUGAAUGAUUAUGAAAUGAUCCCCAUAAGCAGUUUAGUUACCCUCGGUCACCUUAUGAAGUUAUUACAAUAAUGUUGACUAUAUUCCCUAUGCUGUAAUUACAUACGCAGGACAUUUAUUUUGUAACUGGAAAUUUGUAUCUGUGAUCACCUUCAUCUAUUUCUCUUACCCCCUAUUGUCAUUUUAAAACAACUUUGUUCCAUAAAUAGACUGAUAAAAAACUGGGAUUAGUCGCAGUAUAAUCUAGUAUAUUAUACUGUUUCCAUGUGAGAUACUAUUAUGAACACUGGGAAAUUUUUUUUCUAAACAGGAGUUCCCUUGUGGCACAGUGGGUUAAGGAUCUGCUGUUGUCACCGCUGUGGCUCAGGUCACUGCUGUGGCACAAGUUUGAUCCCUGGCCUGGGAACUUUUGAAUGUCAUGGGUGUGGCCAAAAAGAAAAAAAAAAUCUCUUCCCAAGUAUAAGAUCAUAUACUUAGAGGGUAAAAGUAGUUUGUAGCCACCCAAGCUCUUUUCAUUAAUAAAGCCUUUAUGGUAAUGUAUAAAAAACAAUUGUAGUAAUAUUUUAAUAAUAGCGACCCUUCCUUGUACUUCCUAAUAUGUUAGGCUGUCUUCUAUGUACCUUGCAUGUAUUUUCUCAUUUUAUCCUCACAAAUACCUAUGAAAAGGAUAGAGUUGUUAUCUCACUUUCCAGAUAAGGAAAAUGAAACAUGGAAGAAUCCAGUGAUGUACCCAAGGUCACACAGCUAGUAAGUUGCAGAGCCAAGGAUGCACACACAGAGUGUGACUCUAUGGCUACACACUUUCUAGUGCACAGUAGUGCUCCCAUACACCUGGGCUUGGAGUCAGAGACCUGGGGUCAAGUCUAGAGGGUUCCAUCUGCUACUAAUAUGAGCUUAGACAAAUCACUGUUGAGUGAACUUGGCUUUCUGAUCGAUAAAAUGGAGAUAAAGAUCUAGCCUCUGUUUCAUAAGGGUUUUGUGAAUAUCAAAUUGUGGAAGUAUUUGCUAAACUACUACACAAGAGGCUGGUUUAUUGGAUUAGGGCAGAGAGGUACCCCCAAGAAAUGAUGAAUUCCAGUCCCCUGCUACCAGAACCUGUCCCAGACCAAUCACUCUGGAGGUAUGUGGCACCUGGAGCCAAGAAAGUCUCAGUGUAACUGGGAAAGCUGCUUACUGAACUCUGUGAUACUCUGGGCUCAAAUACUCCAUGAGGGGUGAGUGUGACCUUGCAGCAUUUUUAGGCUGGAACCAAUUGGCACUGAGUACCUAGUGAGGAGAAUCCCACUCUCAGAUCUCUGGGGCAGCAGCUGGAGCUUGCCAUCAUUGGCUCAGUCAGCCCUGAUGGCACAGAUGGUUCAUGGAUAAACUUCUGAGAAACACCCCUUUGCAGAUUCUCAAAACACUCUAGAGAGCAGAACUCUGCAAGAGCCUGCUAGCUUUACAUCAACAUGUGGGACUGCAGCACUUUGAGAUGUUUUUUGAGAAUUUAAUUUUAUUGUGUUUUAUUUUUUUGCCUUUUUUAGGGCCACCCCCCACCCCAGCAUGUGGAGGUUCCCAGGCUAGGGGUCGAAUCAGCUACAUCUGCCGGCCUACACCACAGCCACAGCAACAUGGGAUCUGAGCAGCAUCUGUGACCGCCACCACAGCUCACGGCAAUGCUGGAUCCUUAUCGAGGCCAGGGAUCAAACCCGCAUCCUCAUGGAUACUAGUCAGGUUCAUUACCACUGAGCCACAAUGGGAACUCCUGAGAAUUUUAAUUUCUAAUUUUUCAUCACAGGUUAAUGAAGGGUGGACAUUCAGAUUCUGGUAAUCCAGGUUAUUUUUAUUCUUGGAAAGCAAUCCAUUCAACCAGGAUUAAGCAGUGAGAUCCAUUAGAUCUGCUUGCUUGUGGGGCCACCUAUCCGAUCUGGGAAGAGGUAGGUGACUUUUCAAGGCAGGAAACACUCACGGGGAAAACACCCUCUCUUCACUUGCAUGAGUAAUACAUUUUCCAAGAGGAUAGUUUUUGGAAGUUAGAGUCAGAGUCUGGGUAGAGAGCCCCGCCCACUCUUGCUGGAAACAGCUUCUAUUCAUCACCAAUCAAUUGACUUUUGAUGAUUCUCUGGAUUUAAUCAUUUACCUGUGGGCAAAAAGGCUGUCAAAAAAUCUAUUUUGGUUUAAGAGUUCAAGUCACUUUGCAUUUCCAGUACACUAUGUAAGUCUUUUCAG